CCUACGGGCGGUAGCAGUGGGGAAUAUUGGACAAUGGGGGGAACCCUGAUCCAGCGACGCCGCGUGAGUGAAGAAGUAUUUCGGUAUGUAAAGCUCUAUCAGCAGGGAAGAAAGAAAUGACGGUACCUGACUAAGAAGCCCCGGCUAACUACGUGCCAGCAGCCGCGGUAAUACGUAGGGGGCAAGCGUUAUCCGGAUUUACUGGGUGUAAAGGGAGCGUAGACGGCGAUGCAAGUCUGAUGUGAAAGGCGGGGGCCCAACCCCCGGACUGCUUUGGAAACUGGAUGGCUUGAGUGCAGGGGAGGUAAGUGGAAUUCGUGGUGUAGCGGUGAAAUGCGUAGAUAUUAGGAGGAACACCAGUGGCGAAGGCGGCUUACUGGACUGUAACUGACGUUGAGGCUCGAAAGCGUGGGGAGCAAACAGGAUUAGAUACCCGAGUAGUC
rnacentral:rRNA from 1 species